UACGUAGGGGGCAAGCGUUGUCCGGAUUUAUUGGGCGUAAAGCGCACGUAGGCGGCUUUGUAAGUUAGAGGUGAAAGCCCGGGGCUCAACUCCGGAACUGCCUUUAAAACUGCAUCGCUUGAAUCCAGGAGAGGUGAGUGGAAUUCCGAGUGUAGAGGUGAAAUUCGUAGAUAUUCGGAAGAACACCAGUGGCGAAGGCGGCUCACUGGACUGGUAUUGACGCUGAGGUGCGAAAGCGUGGGGAGCAAACAGG
rnacentral:rRNA from 1 species